AUUGAACGCUGGCGGCGUGCCUAACACAUGCAAGUCGAGCGGUAACAGGUGUAGCAAUACAUGCUGACGAGCGGCGAACGGGUGAGUAAUGCUUUGGAAUCUUCCCAGUAGUGGGGAACAACCAGUCGAAAGAUUGGCUAAUACCGCAUACGUCUGUGAAGAGAAAGCGGGGGAUCGUAAGACCUCGCGCUAUUGGAUGAGCCAAAGUCGGAUUAGCUAGUUGGUGAGGUAAUGGCUCACCAAGGCGACAAUCCGUAGCUGGUCUGAGAGGACGACCAGCCACAUCGGAACUGAGACACGGUCCGGACUCCUACGGGAGGCAGCAGUGGGGAAUAUUGGACAAUGGGGGAAACCCUGAUCCAGCGACGCCGCGUGUGUGAAGAAGGCCUGCGGGUUGUAAAGCACUUUUAGUGGGGACAAAAAGUCACGGGUUAAUAACUUGUGAUCUUGAUUUAACUCACAGAAAAAGCACCGGCUAACUCUGUGCCAGCAGCCGCGGUAAUACAGAGGGUGCGAGCGUUAAUCGGAAUUACUGGGCGUAAAGCGCACGUAGACGGUUUGGUAAGUCAGAUGUGAAAUCCCCGGGCUCAACCUGGGAACUGCAUUUGAUACUGCCUGGCUAGAGUAUCGAAGAGGGAAGUGGAAUUUCCGGUGUAGCGGUGAAAUGCGUAGAUAUCGGAAUGGAGCACCAGUGGCGAAAGCGACUUCCUGGUCGAAUACUGACGUUCAUGUGCGAAAGCGUGGGGAGCAAACAUGAUUAGAU
rnacentral:rRNA from 1 species